GAACUCGUCGAGGCCACAGAGGAUGAGCAGUUGUUUUCUGGAGUAGUUUCAAAAGAAAAAUCGGACCAUUAGGACAUUUUUUUGACAGACAGACGGUGUUUUGCCACACAUGAAGGCGAACAAGGAGAAAAGGGAAAGGAAAGACUUCCUUUCCGAGCUGCGCCAAUGCUAUGUCUCAGCUGUUGGCAUUCCAUGUAUUUCCAAACGAACCUUUGGACAUUUCAUCAGUGAUGUUGAUGACGGGUAUUCCUCUGUGGAUAAAGAAGGCAGGGAACCUGGAGUUUUGGAGACGGGACCCCUAAGGCAUAGUCGAUUAAGACCAUGGUGAGAAUGGUGAUGAAAACAGCAAAGUCA